AAUCUUCCGCAAUGGACGAAAGUCUGACGGCGCAACGCUGCGUGAGUGAUGAAGAUCUUCGGAUCGUAAAAACCUGUUUUCAGGGAAGAACAAGUAUCGUUCGAUUAGGGCGGUACCUCGACGGUAUCUAACCAGCAAGCCACGGCUCACUACGUGCCAGCAGCCGCGGUAAUACGUAGGUGGCAAGCGUUAUCUGGAAUUAUUGGGCGUAAGGGGCGCGCAGGCGAUUUCUUAAGUCUGAUGUUAAAGCCCACGGCUCAACCGGGGAGGGUCAUUGGAAACUGGGAAGCUUGAGUGCAGAAGAGGAGAGUGGAAUUCCAUGUGUAGCGGUGAAAUGCGUAGAGAUAUGGAGGAACACCAGUGGCGAAGGCGACUCUCUGGUCUGCAACUGACGCUGAGGCGCGAAAGCGUGGGGAGCGA
rnacentral:rRNA from 1 species